CUGGGAAGGGGCGGGGAGGGUGGUUACCAGGCGGCAGCGUCUGCUGGUGCGUCCACAGCUUGUUAGGGCUGCCGGGGCUCUCGGUGGCCCGGGCCAGGGCCCUCCGCCGGCCGUCACCCGGGGCCUGGUCGAGGAGUCUUCCUCACCUUCCUCCAGGGACUCGGGUUUGCCACAGGUCAUCGAAGAGAUCUUCCUUCGUGCGUGCAGCCCUGAUCUCAUCGGGAUUCUGCACAUUUCCCAUCCAGACCUCUGGGUUGGAGACCAUACUUCCUGUCUGAAGAUUGUCAGGCCAUGCCCCCGUCAGCUUCGCCCUUUUUACCUGUGCCACAUGUUGCUAAGCUCAUGAGUAAGUCUGCCUGUGAAGCCCAGGCCCCAGAAAGCAAGAGCUCUGUCCGUGAAUGCUACGUGGCAGAUGCUACUCUCAUUUUUCUUAGGCUCCUCAUCUCUCUUUCCAAAGAUUGUUAGCAAAAGCUCGUGGACCCCAGGGUCUCUGCCCUUAGGCACCCUUUCUGGCCUGUUAAGUAGGACACGUGCCCACAGGGGCCCCAGAACCAGGAUGUUGGGCCGCCUUUGUGGAAUCAGUGGAUCUGGGGGGCAGCUAGAUGGUGCAGUGGUUAAAGCACCGGCCCUGGAUUCAGGAGUACCUGAGUUCAAAUCCAGCCUCAGACACUUGACACUUACUGUGUGACCCUGGGCAAGUCACUUAACCCCCAUUGCCUGCAAAAAAAAAAAAAAAAAAAAAGAGGAAUCAGUGGAUCUUCCACAUUACUGUACUGGUCCGGCCCCCAUAGUCAGGAGGUCACUCUAAUGCAGGCCUGCUGAGGAAUACCUGGUGGUGGGUCCAGUGGCUCUUGCUCAGUAACUGAUGUAGCCCAUGUGAGCAAAAGUGCUUCAGGGUACUCGGUUCUUUUUUUUUUUUUUUUUUUUUUAGUGAGACAAUUGGGGUCAAGUGACUUGCCCAGGGUCACACAGCUAGUAAGUGUUAAGUGUCUGAGGCUGGACUCGAACUCAGGUACUCCUGAAUCCAGGACCGGUGCUCCAUCCACUGCGCCACCUAGCCGCCCCUACUCGGUCCUUUUUAAGAGGGGAGCGCUGAGUCCAAAAGGCUGACCUAGGUGAUGCAGAAGCUCAUCAGGGCAGUGCCUAGGACCCUGACGCCACACACCCCCACCCACCCCCCCCACCCCCCCGUGCCAGUCAGGUGUCUGAUCAUCUCCCCUGCAUUUUAGGGGAAAGGAAGCACCGUCAGCAUUGGCAAGGCAGAGACCCUGACAUUGUUUAGUACCUUUAGAGGAGAAAGAGGUAGCAGUGGCAGGGGCUAGAAGAGUCCUUCCACAGAAGGUUGCUUUUGAGCUAAGACCUGAAGAAAGCCAGGGCUUUAUGAAGAAGGAGGAAAGCCUUCUAGGCAUGGGAGACUGUUAGGGCAAAGAGACCUGGAGUGAGAGACAAGCGGCAUGUGUGAGAAAAUACCGACAAGCUUAGUGUAGCUGGUCCAUAGAAUUUAUGGAGGGCAAUAGGGGUAGACUGCAGAGAGAGCAAGGGGCCAAACACAUUCAGGCCUAGGCGUUAGUAACAUUAUUUUGGUUUUUUGGCGUUUUUUGUUUUGUUGUUGUUUUGGGGGGGGGGCAGUGGGGAUUAAGUGACUUGCCCGGGAUCACACAGCUAGUAAGUGUCAAGUGUCUGAGGCCAGAUUUGAAUUCAGGUCCUCCUGAAUCCAGGGCCGGUGCUUUAUCCACUGUGACACCUAGCUGCCCCUAGUAACAUUAUUUUGGCAUCUGAUGAAGAGUAUGAGUUGGAGUAUGGUAAGCCAUGAGGCAGGGACUAUUGGGAGGCCAUUGGAGCUAGAGGCAGCUGGCUAGGUGAUGCAUCAGCCAGAGCAUGGAGUCAGGAAAGCUGGGUUUGAAUCCUGCCUCAGAUACUUAAUAGCUUGGUGAUCCGGAGCCAAUCACUUCACCUCUGUUUGCCUCAGUUUCCUCAUCUGUAAAAUGGGGAUAAUAGUA